CUUAUUUCAAAGGCGAGACUAAAAUAAAGAGGGCUGAUCAGACUGGGGGCAAGCAGAGAUUGGGCCAUCGCUAGAGUUACAAAAGCAGCGCUGGCUACUGUAGGGCAGCAGCGUCAUCUCCUCGAGAUAGGACUCCCUCUGCCCCAGUUCUGUUCACCGUCCAAAGACCAGGGCCCUCCCUGAAGCCCAGCACUUGAGAAAUGCUCGCUGUCACAUAUUAUGACUCUGGCUUUGGAAAGAAAUUCAGCAAGGGUACUGGUUAAAAGGUCAAAAAGUGGUGAAAUGCCAUCUGCCCAAACGGAAGCAAGGGGUCGCUUGGAUUGGGUAAAGGUUUCCUUUGUGGUUUUAAGUCGUUGGGUUGUUUUUCGUUCGUUUUUGUUUUGUUAGAAAGCACUGUGUCUGUCUGGAGGUCGAAGGGUCGGGUGGGUGUCUGCAGUGCGGCUUUUCUCCCUUGGCCAGCGCGGAAACAAAGUGGGUUUACUGGCCAUUUCCGCUUUGUGUGAAGGAAACCUGAGAUUCACUGCCUCCAGCACAUAGGAGUUGUCUGUUGUUUUUAGUUUAGUUCUGUUGUUGUUAUUAGGUGUUUUUAAAACAUAUGUAAGUGUGUAUCAAAGUUGUAUUUCACAGUGUUGGCAGAAAAUUUACAGGAAAAAGACAGAGGAGGGUUUAGUUGAAGAUCAGGAGGAGGUAGAAAGACUGGUUAAAUGUCUAGUGAAAGGUUUUAGGCAUACCAGGAUUGUCAGUCAACUGGGUGGGUAACUCUUUUAUUUUUAAAAUUGUGGUAAAAUAUGUAUAAAAUAACAUAUACUAUUUUAACGAUUUUUAAGUAGGCCUGGGCACAGUGGCUGACACCUGUAAUCCCAAGCUUUGGGAGGCUGAGAUGGGAGGAUCAUUGGAGGCCAGGAGUUUGAAACCAGCUUGGUCAACAUAGCAACUUCAUCUCUAAAAAAAAGAUAAAUAAAAAUAAAAAGUUUUUUUUUUAAAUUAUCUGGGCAUGGUGGCACACUGGGCAAGUAGUUCCAGCUCCUUGGGAGGCCGAGGCAGGAAGAUCACUUGAGCCUAGGAGUUCAAUGCUAUAGUGAGCUCUGAUCACACCGCUGCCCUCCAGCCUGUGUGAUAGAGCAAGAACCUGUCUCUAAAAUAAAUCACAAUUUAAAAAUGCUCAAGUGAAAGGUUCUGCGACAUUAAGUGCACUCACAUUUUUGUGCCACCAUCGCCACCAUGCAUCUACAGAAAUUUUCUUUCUUUCCCAACUGAAACUCUGUCCCCAUUAAACACUAACUCCCCAUCCUGCCCUGCCAGCCACGGGUGGCCACCGUUCUACUGUUUCUGAAUUUGACUAUUCAUAGUACCUCAUAUAAGUGGAAUCGUAGAGUAGUCGUCCUUUGUGACUAGCUCAUUUCCCUUAGCGCAACGCCUUCAAAGUUUAUUCACGUGGGUAGUUAGUUCUUUACGGUUUGUUUUUCAUCGUUUGGACCCUCAGUUUUUGUUUCUUGUUGAGGACUUGGUAGUCUCAGAUAUUGAGGAUAGGAUUGCAGGCUGAAAGUCUGGCCAGGAGGCUUCCUGAUCCUUCUCCUCGCCCUAAAAUAUCUUGGCCACACUGGAUAUAUAUUUUUUUCUUUUUGAGAUGGAAUCUCCCUCUGUUGCCCAGGCUGGAGUGCAGUGGCGCAAUCAUGGCUCACUGCGGCCUCAACCUCCCAGGCUCAAGUGAUCUUCCUGCCUCACCCUCCCAAGCAGCUGGGACUACAGGCAUGCACCACCAUAUCUGGCUAAUUUUUUUUUACUUCUUGGGAGAGAUGGGGGUCUCACUUUGUUGCCCAGCCUGGUCGUGAGCUCCUGGCCUCGAGCGAUCCUCCCUCCUCAACCUCCCAAAGUGCUGGGAGUACAGGCAUGAGCCACCACGCCUGGCCCACACUGGACAUUUCUUAGUGUUUUUUCCUGCCUGGGUCACUACCUACUUGGUGUGUUAAUAGCUCUCAAGGCUCUUAGCUUGGCCCACAUUGCUUGCUCCUCUGGGCAAACCAUGAAUAUUUCCAAAGCAGACCAGCCUCUCAGGGGACUCUGUCUGUCUGUCUCUCUCUGCCUCUCUCUGUCUCUGUCUGUCUGUCUCUGUCUCUCUCUCUCCCUGUUUCCAUCUCUGUGUGUCUCUGUCUGUGUGUGUGUGUGUGUCUCCAUCUCUGUCUCUGUCUCUCUCUGUCUUUCUCUCCUCCCUCCUCUCAGCAUCAGUAUUUACCCACUGGCCUCAGGCAAAGGCUUCAGAGAAGGGAAAGAAGCCUUUUCUUUCCCCUUCCCGUCCUCUCAGGCACAGGAGGCAUGCCAUCUGUUUGCUUGUUUUUAUAAUCAUUCUUUGUAAGCAGAACAUUCAAAUGGCAAAAUAUAUAAGCAGUAAGAACGUGCAAUGAAAAACCAGUCUCCCCACCCACUUCCUUGUUGCCUUUUGCCACACCAGCCACUGUGACCUUGACUGUCUUUCUAGGGACAUUUACACAUAAACAAGCUCAGGGGGCCUCUUUUUACACAAAAGAUAUCAUCUUAUACCCACCCCCCUGUAUCAUGCUUUUUGGAAAAAAUACAUAAAAAUAAGAGUGUAAUAAAUGAAGUCUCCACCAACCAGAGUUGAUAAAAAACAUUUAGUAUAGCUGUUUUUUUUUCUUUUUUUACAUAAAAAUAAGUAAAAUGCUAAAGAUGAAGUCUGAAAUAUUCUGUGGCCUUUGUGGCCAGUCCUGCGUCCUUCCUCCCAUCCUUAGAGGGGAGCACUAUUGGAAAUUAUUUACACCCUUUCUGUAAUUUUUUAUAUGUCAUAUACAUACAUAUAUACAUCUGUGAACAAUAUAUAGCAUCAUUUUGCACAAUAAUCAUUUUUAAUAUCCCUUCCCCCUACUGGCAGGCAUUCAGGUUCUUUUAGACUUUGCUCCUCAAAUAAUGCCGCAGGAAAUUUCUUGUGCCGAUAUCUUUGUGCACAUGCGUGAGUGUGUCUGUAGGAUAAUUUUGUAGAGGCGGGCUCACUGGAUCAAAAGAUAUGUGCGUUUGAUAGUUUCAAAGGGCACCAAUUUUUACUUCCACCAAUAAUGCAUGGAACACCUAUUUCUUCACAUCUUCUUUCACAUACAAAUUUAUCAAAAUUUUUAAUUUUUAUUCAUCUAAUACAUAAAAAAUACCUCUCAUACUUUGAAUUUAUGUAUUGGAAACCAUGUAUUGGUAAUGUAUUAGAAAUAUAAUAGAUUAUUUCUUUUAUUAUAAGUGAGGGUGAGCACCUUCUCAUGUGUUUGAAAGCCAGGCAGGCCGGGGGUGGUGGCUCAAGCCUGUAAUCCCAGCACUUUGGGAGGCCGAGGUGGGUGGAUCAUCUGAGGUCGGAGUUCAAGACCAGCCUGACCAACAUGGAGAAACCCCGUCUCUACUAAAAAUACAAGAUUAGCCAGGCGUCGUGGCACAUGUCUGUAAUCCAAGCUACUUGGGAGGCUGAGGCAGGAGAAUCGCUUGAACCUGGGAGGCGGAGGUUGCGGUGAGCUGAGAUCAUGCCAUUGCACUCCAGCCUGGGCAACAAGAGCAAAAACUCUGUCUCGAAAAAAAAAAAAGAAAGCCAGAUAUAUUUCUUCUUCUGUGGUUUUUUAAGGUAUUUUGCCCAUUUUUCUUUGGGGCUGAUUAUCUUAUUCACUCUUAAGUGUACUUUGCAUGUGAAGAAAAUUAACUGUCAUAUGUGUUGCAAAUAUUUUCCCAGUUAAUUGCUUAUAUUUUGACUCAGCUAUUUUUGCCACAUGGAAAUUUUUAAUUUUUAUGAAGUCAAUUUUAUCAAUACUAAUGUUUUUAAGUGGUGAUAGAUUUACUGUUUUCUUCUCAUUUUCUUCAUUUCUCCCCUACUUCCCAUUUCUAACUCAAAUCAUACCUCAGAUUCCUGGGUCUAGGGUGAGAUCAACAGCUGGAAGCCACCACAGAGUUAAUCCAGGUGAACCCUGGAGGUUCGACAUAACCCCGAAGGCUCCAGGGGCCCUUGACUUAACUUUGCCCUACUGUAUAUUUAUAGGGUAUCCUAAAUCUGCCCUAACCACUGACACUUCCUGGAGUUCUUUCAGUCUGAAGAAACUUCUGGUUCCAAUUUGGUCUCCUUAAAGACCUCUGCCCCAGGCAGGUCUGCAUCCCUGGAGGCACCAUGGCAGGGCUGGCACAGGGAAGCUGGGACCUUAGUGACCUACUGCUGCUUUUUCAUUCUUUUCACUCCCUGUGGAGCCGGGUUUCUUACUGGCAGAGAAGGGAAAGGGAGAAAACAAGAAUGCACUCAUGCUGUCGGCCUGGACUUGGAGAUUAUCAGUGUGGACUCAAGCUUUCCAAUACAUAAAGAUGGAGAGAGAGAUACAGGUGUAAAAGUGUGUGUAAUAUUUUGAAUCUACUUUUGUGUGUUCUUAAUUUUUAUUAUUUCCUUCAUUUAUUUUUGAAACAGGGUCUUGCUCCGUUACCCAGACUGGAGUACGGUGGUGAGAUCAUAGCUCACUGCAGGCUUGACCUCCCGGGCUCAAGUGAUCCUCCCACCUCAGCCUCCCGAGUAGCUGAGACCACAGGUGCGCACCACCACGCCCAGCUAAUUUUUCUAUGUUUUUUAGAGACAGGUUUACACCAUGUUGCCCAGGCUGGUCUCAAAUUCCUGGGCUCAAGCGAUCCUCCUGCCUCAGCCUCCCAAAGUGCUAGGAUUACAGGCAAGAGCCACUGCGCCCGGCCUUGUGUGUCUUUAAAUGUUUUUUGUUGUUGCUGUUUGUUUGUUUUUUGAGACAGAGUCUCCCUCUGUCACCCAGGCUGGAGUGCAAUGGCAUGGUCUCGACUCACUGCAAACUCCGCCUCCCGGGUCAAGCGAUUCGCCUGCCUCAGCCUCCCAAGUAGCUGGGAUUACAGGCACCCACCACCACGCCUGGAUAAUUUUUGUAUUUUUAGUAGAGAUGGGGUUUCACCAUGUUGACCAGGCUGGUCUCGAACUGCUGACCUCGUGACCCACCUGCCUUGGCCUCCGGAAGUGCUGGGAUUACAGGCAUGAGCCACUGUGCCCAGCCUUUAAAUGUUUUACAUGUACAUCCUUGCCAUCGUUUUCAUUUAAUUACUCUCCUCUAGUUUGUAAGGGCAGGGCCAUAGUGGGCCAGUCCCAGCAUUCUUUCCCCUUCUCUCUACCCGAACACAAAUGUCUGCACAGAACACCAUCAUUCAGCCAUUGGGGAUUAAAAAUUAAGAUCGAGGAAAAAGCAAAAUAAAACAAGAUCAUUAUUUGUCAUUGAGGACUGGGUGGGCAUUCCCUCAUUCUUCUUGCCUUCCAUGGUCCAUCUCAGCAGCUUGACAUUCUGCACCUUCUAUUAGCUCGUGGCCUGGCUGCAUCCUCCCUACAGACAUUUUACCCCUAAGCAGCCUCCUUCCUUCCUUCCUCCCUUCCUUUCCCCCUUCCUUCCCUCCUGUUUUCCUCCUUCCUUCCUUCCCUCCUUCCUUUCUUUCCUUCUCUCUCCCUUUCUUCAUCCCUUCCCUCCUUUCCCUCCUUCCCUCCUUUCCCUCCUUCCCUCCGUCCUUCCUUUCUUCCUUCCUUCCCUUCCUCCUUUCUUCCUUUUUUAUCUUUCUCCUUUCCUUUCCUCCUCCUUUAAUUCCCUCCUUCCUUCCUUCAUCAAAUGUUUGCUGCACUGCUAACAGAGUCCAUGCUGUGCUUGGUGCGGACAAUUCUGUAGCGAACAGUGCGACAGAUAACUGGUGCUGCCUUCAGCAAGCCUACAAUCUAGCAGGCAGCCUGCAGUGAAUCGGCCACUACAUAACUCAGCACCCUCUUCCAGAGGCCAUCUCUGUCUCUCCAGUGGCCCCAACUGUAGCCGCUCUCGAGCCUCCACCAUCAAACUGUGUCCUUAAGAAAAUCAUUGUUUUCUCCCCACCAGAGGAGAGAGCCGCUAAGUGCUCUGACCCCCUUGCUUCCAGCACGUUCAUACGAAUUGGGAUUUGGUGGCCUCACACGCAUAGGCUCACGAUCCUCACAGGGGACAGGGAAGACGCCACGAUCUGCAUUUUACCGACAGGAGGCGCAGGAACUUGCCGGAGAUCGCAGAGCAGGUACUGGCCUUCUCAGGAAACACCAAGACCAACAUAGAGAAGGAUGGUGGAUUUCCGGGUAUACAAAAGACCAAACAAAUCCAGAUCAUCAAGGAAUUAUGCAUUUGUGAUGGAGUGGAGUCCUGGCACAGAGAUCAAGAGGCCGGAAGAGCAGAUUGGAAAAGGGAGUUCAGAAGCUUAGUCCGUGGUCCUGUCCGCUCAAGAUCAGACAUGCUUGGAGCUCUGCUGAAUUUUAAUCUUCACUCUUAUUCAAAACCAUUGACUCCUAACGCCUGGGAAAGCCAGUGGAGAGAGGGCUUCCCUCUGAGUAAAUUCGAGGGAAGCAUGUGGUAGAGAACACCCAUGGCUGUCUUGUAAAAUGAAGCCCCCAGGCACCAGCUCUAAAUUCCCUACCAAAGGUGACUUACUCAUCUAGUUCCAUCGUCCAAGGCCCCAGUUUUCUCUUUGCUUCAAUAUGUACAUCAAUAUACUAUCUUCAACUUUUGCAGCAUUUUCUAUGCUGUUUA